UGUAGGUCCAUCUUGUGUGAUGACAAGGUCACUUGAGAAAAUCAUAAGUUCAUAUUUUUUUUUCAUUCCAAGUGUUGAGUGUUUCUAGUUCACCCAGUUUUACAUAUCCUUCCUGCAUUUUUAUUUAAAGUCUUCACUUGUCAUUCAUUGGUAGUACAUGUAUUUCUUUUAAAAGAUCUGCCUCAUUUAACUUCAUUCUUAAUAUAAUAUUAAUUACUUUGUAACAUUUACUCUGUUCCACCUUAUUUUAUUUGUACGCCAUACCGGUCUAGAUUUACCAGUGAGAAGUUCCAUUUUAUGUGUUGAACCAUCCUUUGUGAUUUAUAAUCAAUGCAGAACAGAUACUAGCAUAUUGUGUACUAAAUCACUGCAGUUUUAUGCUCUCUGGUAUUACAAAUAUAGUAUAAUCCCAGUAAGGUAAUUCUUGCUUAGAACCAUCCUUUAUCAAUUAAAAUCAAUGCAGAACUGAAUACAAUAAUCAUUGCAGUUUCAUGCUUUCUGGUAAUAGUAUAGAUUAAUUACCUGUGUGAAAUGAUCAUUUUGAAGUACUGUCCCAUUUGAUUUUUUUCUGGUGCUUCUGGAUGUAUUAUUUUUUUGUUAACUGGUUAAUUUAAUAAGUGUGAUUCAUAUUCAUCGUUACACAUAUUUAAUCAUGCAUUGUUUUUCUUAUUAGUUACAUUGUAAUAAUGGUUGAAUAAAAAAGGUCAGAAAAAUAUCAAAUAAAAUUUUUGAAU
rnacentral:misc_RNA from 1 species